rnacentral:rRNA from 1 species
AUUGAACGCUGGCGGCGUGCUUAAGACAUGCAAGUCGAACGGCAGUCUUCGGACUGUAGUGGCGCACGGGUGAGUAACGCGUAACUGACCUACCCCAAAGUCGCGGAUAACGAUUCGAAAGAAUCGCUAAUACGUGAUGUGCUGUCAGAUUGUGUUCUGCCAGUAAAGAUUGAUUGCUUUGGGAUGGGGUUGCGUUCCAUCAGCUAGUUGGUGGGGUAAAGGCCCACCAAGGCGACGACGGAUAGCCGGCCUGAGAGGGUGGCCGGCCACAGGGGCACUGAGACACGGGUCCCACUCCUACGGGAGGCAGCAGUUAGGAAUCUUCCACAAUGGGCGAAAGCCUGGUGGAGCGACGCCGCGUGAGGGAUGAAGGUCUUCGGAUCGUAAACCUCUGAAUCAGGGACGAAAGACACUUCGGUGGGAUGACGGUACCUGAGUAAUAGCACCGGCUAACUCCGUGCCAGCAGCCGCCGCCG